CGGCUCUGAAAGGGGGAUGGGAGAGCGAGCAGAAAGCAGAAAAACCAGCUUUGAACUAUGCAUGCAAGGCCUCUCUCAAGACUCAGAUUCUCAAUCCCGGACACCUGCACUGAGCUCUGGCUCUCUGCCCUGCAGUGCGGAAGGCGCUGGAAUGCACCUGUAGAGAUGACAAGCUUCCUGCUCCAAGUUCAUACACGAUGAAAAUUAACUGUAGAAGACCCACUGCUUUGAAUUUAAGGCUCCAGAUUCAGUGUGCUCGUCUCCAGACUGCUCCGUGACAGCGAGGCUGUCCCACGACGUGCAGCUGACAUGCAAGGUGAGAAGCAGCAUUGCAAACACUCAAGUAGAGGCGGUGGAUGAGUGUGAGGGCACGCGCAGCUGAGCCAGGGGGUCCCCUGUCGUCCGUGCAGGCUAACGGGUCGAGCUUGCCCAGGAGCCCUGUGGAGCUUGGCUGGGCUCGGCCGCAGCAGUGACGGUGACAGCCACAAAGUGCUAUACACAUAAUGACCGUGACAAACAGCUGGGUACAAACAUGAGCAAAAACAGCUCCACCGCUGCUCCUACGCAUACAGGACAAUGGACCGUGCGUCUUACCGAACAAAGCUUUUAGCACUAGGACUGGGUGACCUGGCCAAUACACAGAGCAGACCGAGUCCAGGGGUAUCGACAGCCACCACAGGGGACACGCUGAGCUGCGUGGCACGUGGGAUCUUAGUUUCCCGACCAGGGAUCGAACCUGUACCCCCCGCAGUGGAAGCGCGGAGUCAACCACUGGACCGCCAGGGAAGUCCCAUCAAAAAAGUUUUUGAAGUACUAUUCCUUUGAGUCCUCUCUGCGUUUCACUGGAGUCCAGCUUAGGGUUGUAUUGGAAAAAGUCGGGGAGAGAACGAUGGAAAAAGCAGCACGGGAGGCCCCCAGUGAGAGCCUGAGCUCAGAAUUCAGCCUCCAGACAGAGGCUUUUGGUGUUUGGGGACAGGAGUCGGGGACUCUCUUCUCGGGAGGGGACAGUCACGGCCGCCUCCCCAGAAAACCCACACAGCAACACCACUUCCUCGUCCUCCUCCCACUCACUCAGCUUAAAACGCCUGCUACAGAGUCACGUGACUGGAGAGUCAAAAAAUGUUUCAUGGAAAGGAGUCUUUCAUAAAAACGUUA